AGCCUCCGUCUUCAAAGCCUCUCCAACCUCAUUAGUUUCAGCAUCAGGGUGUUGCAUCCAUUGCUUAGGGAACAGAUGAUCCUGUAAUCACAGACGUCUGCCACGCAUCGAUGCGGAUAAUCAGCUGCAACUGCGACUUUUGCAGAGAAAAUGUUUCCAGAAAGGGCAGCCGACAACAGAGAAGGCAGAACAGCUUGAGUCAGUUGAAAACGAAACAGGAGCAGGAGGGCCCAGCACUGUGUCUCCUGUAGAUCCUGAAUCACUCAGUGGACGUAACGGCGGUAAUCUGGAACAGUACAAACUUCAGUGAUAGUUGUAUGUGAAAAUACCAGUUGAUCAGCAGUUUUUCUGGCACCAUCAACCAUGCCACAUUCAAAUCACCUUUCCUCCCGCUUUGAUGCUUGCUUUGAACUUUAGCAAAUCGUCGUGCAGCCAUGCAAUUGGUUAAUAUGUUUUAACAACCAAUUUAAAUAAUUGAGUGUUUGUCUGCAUUAAAAGGCUAAAUAAAAAUGCAUGACACACUUUUCAGAUGUUUAUUUGCAAACAAAUAAAAUUCUGUAAACCACU